rnacentral:misc_RNA from 1 species
GUGAAUCAUCGAAUUUUUGAACGCAUAUUGCACUCUCUGGUAUUCCGUAGAGUAUGCCUGUUUGAGGGUAAUUAGAAAGUAUCUUUACCAAUUUUUGUGGGCAGAGGAGAUGAGUUCUCCGCGUUUAUAGCGGUAGCUUGGAAUAAAUGAUAGUCUCAUUUUAGUCGAGACGCGGAAUAAUAUUAUUUCGCGAAAUCUUCCAUAUGUAACUAUCAAGUUUUUAUGCAUACAAAUUUGGUUUGUAUGCGAUUAAUACAAAUAGUUUGAAC